rnacentral:rRNA from 1 species
CUAGCUUAUUAAGUUUGUGAGAUUAGAUAGUAUCUUAAAGUUAAGGUAAGAAUUCUUUAAUUUACUAGGGGACGAUAAGACCCUAGAAGCUUAACAAACAGAAAAAUUAUUUUUGUUUUACAAGAUUGUUUGUUUUACUGGGGCGGUAAAAAUAAUUAAGCUAUUUAGUAGUUAUAAGAUCCUUUAAAAUAAAGAUAAAAUGGGGAAGUUACUCUAGGGAUAACAGUGCAAUAUUUUUGGAGAGAUCUUAUUGAUAAAUAUGUUUGCAACCUCGAUGUUGAAUUAAGAUGUCUUUAUGAAGCAGAAAGCAUAGAAGAAGGUUUGUUCAACCUUUAAAAUCUUACAUGA